rnacentral:lncRNA from 1 species
CCUGCCCACUUGCCAGUCUGGUGUCUGCUGUCUUAGCACUAUAUUGAUUCCUUGGAGUGGAAUUAGUAAAAAGGAUAUGAAUAUUUUUAGUCUCUUGAUAUGUUAGACUGAUUUCCAGAAGGCUUGUACCAAUUUACUCUUCUACCGACAACUGUAAGAAUACCCUUCCUCCAUCAACAGCAUUGUGUAUUAGCUUUUAAGAAAAAUCUUUUCUAAUUUAAUAGGUUAAAAAAAUUCAUCUCAUUAUUUUAAUUUGAUAUGUAUUUUUAAAUGAGGUUGAAUAUAAUUUCCCAAGCUUAUUGAUCACUUUUAUUGUUCCCUUGUGAAUGGACUGUAAAUUUGCCUCUUUUUUCUUUAGGGUGUUCAUUGAGUGUUAUUGAUUUGCAAAAGCUCAUUGUAUAUUAAGAAUAUAAACCCUUUGUUGAGAUUGUUA